GUGGGGAAUAUUGGACAAUGGGCGAAAGCCUGAUCCAGCCAUGCCGCGUGAGUGAUGAAGGCCUUAGGGUUGUAAAGCUCUUUCAGUAGGGAAGAUAAUGACGGUACCUACAGAAGAAGCCCCGGCUAACUUCGUGCCAGCAGCCGCGGUAAUACGAAGGGGGCUAGCGUUGUUCGGAUUUACUGGGCGUAAAGCGCACGUAGGCGGAUUGGUCAGUUAGAGGUGAAAUCCUGGAGCUCAACUCCAGAACUGCCUUUAAUACUGCCAGUCUAGAGUCCAGAAGAGGUGAGUGGAACUCCUAGUGUAGAGGUGGAAUUCGUAGAUAUUAGGAAGAACACCAGUGGCGAAGGCGGCCUGCUGGACAUUAACUGACGCUGAUGCGCGAAAGCGUGGGGAGCAAACAGGAUUAGAAACCCUAGUAGUCC
rnacentral:rRNA from 1 species